rnacentral:lncRNA from 1 species
CUCCCUCUCCUCCACCUUACGAGUACAAGUCGCCACCCCCUCCUUCUCCCUCUCCACCACCACCUUACGAGUACAAGUCGCCACCCCCUCCUUCUCCCUCUCCGCCAUCACCAUCUCCUCCACCACCUUACUACUACAAAUCACCACCCCCUCCUUCUCCUUCUCCACCACCACCUUACUACUACAAGUCUCCACCACCUCCAUCACCAUCUCCUCCACCACCAUACUACUAUAAAUCACCUCCUCCACCCUCUCCAUCACCUCCUCCACCAUAUUACUACAAGUCCCCACCACCUCCAUCACCUUCACCCCCACCACCUUACUACUAUAAGUCUCCACCUCCACCUUCACCAUCACCACCUCCACCUUACUACUACAAGUCUCCUCCACCACCUUCACCAUCACCUCCACCACCAUACUACUACUCUUCCCCACCACCACCCAAGAAAUCACCUCCUCCACCAUACUACUACUCCUCUCCUCCACCACCCAAGAAGUCACCUCCACCUCCAUACUACUACAGUUCUCCACCACCACCAGUUAAGUCUCCUCCUCCGCCAUACUAUUACUCCUCACCACCACCACCCAAAAAGUCACCUCCGCCACCAUACUACUACUCCUCACCACCACCACCUAAGAAGUCUCCUCCACCAUACUACUACCACUCCCCUCCACCACCAGUUAAGUCUCCUCCUCCUCCAUACUACUACCACUCCCCUCCACCACCAGUUAAGUCUCCUCCUCCUCCUCCAUACUACUACACUUCCCCUCCACCACCUACUCCUUACUAUCCUCCUCAUCAUCCCUUGAUCGUUAAGGUUGUCGGAAAAGUCUAUUGCUACAGAUGCUACGACUGGAAAUAUCCAAAGAAAUCCCAUGACAAGAAGCACCUUAAAGGUAUACUAUUUUUCUCUGCCACAUUUUCUCUUACAUUAUUCUUGUUCUGUUUAAUAUUUCUUCAUAACUAUAUAUAUUUAUCUCAAGUAUGUGGUUCCUUCUUGCUUUAAAGAUUUAGCUCAAAAUUUGAAAAAUCUUGGCUCUAUUAUAAUUCCCUACAAAAAGAUGCGAAAGAAAAGAAAGUUGAUAAAUGCACUAAAGAUGAUUAUCAAAAAAUGCUUUAAAAACUAUUGAAUAAUUUUUUUUACAACUGAAUAUAUGAUGAAAAGAACANACUACAAAUCACCACCCCCUCCUUCUCCUUCUCCACCACCACCUUACUACUACAAGUCUCCACCACCUCCAUCACCAUCUCCUCCACCACCAUACUACUAUAAAUCACCUCCUCCACCCUCUCCAUCACCUCCUCCACCAUAUUACUACAAGUCCCCACCACCUCCAUCACCUUCACCCCCACCACCUUACUACUAUAAGUCUCCACCUCCACCUUCACCAUCACCACCUCCACCUUACUACUACAAGUCUCCUCCACCACCUUCACCAUCACCUCCACCACCAUACUACUACUCUUCCCCACCACCACCCAAGAAAUCACCUCCUCCACCAUACUACUACUCCUCUCCUCCACCACCCAAGAAGUCACCUCCACCUCCAUACUACUACAGUUCUCCACCACCACCAGUUAAGUCUCCUCCUCC